rnacentral:rRNA from 1 species
AGAGUUUGAUCCUGGCUCAGAUUGAACGCUGGCGGUAUGCUUAACACAUGCAAGUCGAACGGUAACAGCAGAGCUUGCUCUGGCUGACGAGUGGCGGACGGGUGCGUAACGCGUAGGAAUCUGCCUAUUAGUGGGGGACAACAUGGGGAAACCCAUGCUAAUACCGCAUACGCCCUACGGGGGAAAGCAGGGGAUCUUCGGACCUUGCGCUAAUAGAUGAGCCUGCGUUAGAUUAGCUAGUUGGUGAGGUAAUGGCUCACCAAGGCGACGAUCUAUAGCUGGUCUGAGAGGACGAUCAGCCACACUGGGACUGAGACACGGCCCAGACUCCUACGGGAGGCAGCAGUGGGGAAUAUUGGACAAUGGGCGAAAGCCUGAUCCAGCAAUACCGCGUGUGUGAAGAAGGCCUGAGGGUUGUNAAGCACUUUCAAUUGGGAGGAAAACAGGCAGGUUAAUAUCCUGUCUCUUGACAUUACCUUUAGA